rnacentral:piRNA from 1 species
AGAACCUUCAAGAGCCUGAUGGAGUCAGCA